rnacentral:rRNA from 1 species
UACGUAGGGUGCGAGCGUUGUCCGGAAUUAUUGGGCGUAAAGAGCUCGUAGGCGGUCUGUCGCGUCUGCUGUGAAAACCCGAGGCUCAACCUCGGGCUGCAGUGGGUACGGGCAGACUAGAGUGCGGUAGGGGAGAACGGAAUUCCUGGUGUAGCGGUGGAAUGCGCAGAUAUCAGGAGGAACACCGAUGGCGAAGGCAGUUCUCUGGGCCGUAACUGACGCUGAGGAGCGAAAGCGUGGGGAGCAAACAGGA